GGGAUGUGUUAACGGCUUCUCACCGGGGUUAGGCUUCAGUGUUAGCAGUUUGGGUUAAGGGUUAUGCUGUUACGGAAGGGUAAAGGUCUCCAUGCUGGAUUAAGGGAUAAGAGUUACGGGGUACCCUUCUCGGUUUGGUUUCACGGUUGCCCUACUGGAUUAGAAUUACGAGUUAAGGGUUUCCCAUUUGAGGACAGGCUUUAGGAUUAAGGGAUACCCUUUGGCAUUAGGCUUCAGAUUUGCCUUUUCCGGCUGUGCUGAAUGGUUAGCAUUUUGUGUUAGCGAUAAGUGUGAAGGGUUACCCAUUUGUGUGAUGUAUAAGAGUUCCCAUAGUCAUAGACCUCUGUAGGAAUAUUCAUAGGAAAACAAAAUAACAGAAAGAAAAAAACGGCAAAGAAUACAGUGGCAAAAAGAGAAAACACAGGAAAGCAAAGCAAAAAAUGAGGUAAGGAAAGCAAAGGAAAAAAAAAAACAAAUGACGACAUCCCAAGGAAAAACACAGAAAACUGAAAUCAACCAUAACUAAAAAACUAAAAUAACUACCGAGGAAAGAAUCAAAAAAGCAAACCAAAGAAAAAGCAAAGCAAAACGAUACAAGAAAUACAAGGAAAAAACAACGACAUAAAAUGUAAUACCGUAGCAAAUCAAAGAAUUCAAACGAAGGAAGUGGCAAAAAACAUAAGCUAACUGAAGCAUAACAAUGUAAAGGAAAAAAAAACAGACAAAAAAAAACAAGCAAAGGGGAUAAAAGAGAACAACCAAAGCAGUAAGAGAAAGCAAAGCAAAGAAAGAAAAAUGAACUGCAAUGCAAAGCAAAGGUAGCAUAGAAAAACAAAGGAGCAAACCAGAGCAAAGCAAUGGAAGAAAAAAAAGAAAAAAAGAAUAAAAAGAAAGGAAUAGUCAAAGAAAAAAAAGAAAUGUAAUGGGACAAAAUAAUAGGCAAAAAAAAAAAAGAAGAAAGAGGUGGAAAGCAAAGAACAAAAAAAGGAAAACGAAGGGAAACAACAGCAAAUCAAAACAAACACAUUUAAAGUAACAAAUCAGAAAAAAAAAAAAAAAACAAAAAUCCACCCAGCCACAAACACACACACACACAAAAAAAAAAUGACAGAAACAAAAAAAAAGAAAAAUAGAAAACCCAAUAACACAGAGCGCCCCACAGAAAAAAAAACAAAAAAAGACAAAUGAAAAAAACACACACAAAACAGAAAUUAAAAUAGAGAAUAAAAACAAACAAAAAACAGAAAAAGAGAAAAUCAAAACCAAAAGAAAAUAAAACCCUCCAUAAGUACACAAAAUGCACACAUAUUACAAGGAACAGAAAGUGGAUCCGAUGUCAUGGCAAAGCAAAGAUGACAAGUGACUGUGGUGCAGGCCAAAAGCUUACCAUCCGUGCCUGGCAGGAGGAAAGGGCAGCCGCCAGGGACGGAUCAGCCAGCCAGCUGAGGAAAAGCCUCAAGGCCAUGGCAAGGAAAGAGGCAAGGGCACCCAGGAGGCGAGAAGCCAUCUGAGCCAUUGAGAAGGAAACAACAAGAGAAGGCAAGGGAAGCAAAGAUAAUUCAUUCAAAAAAAAUUCCAUAAAAAACUAAAAAGACACAAACAAACAAACAAACCCCCACAAAAACAAAAAAUAUGGAAAACCAAAUAAAGAAAAAGCAAAGCAAAACAACAAAUGGAAUGCAAAGAAAAAGCAAAAAGAAAAAGAAAAGGAAAAAUAAAAAUGAAGGAUCAGGAGGGCUAAUAGCAGGUAAGUAAAGGCGAGGUAAGGGGAAGGUGACGAGCAUGGGGACAAGGAAGGAGAGAAGGAAGGGAAGGAAGAGAAAAAUGUAAAGGAUGAAAAAGGGAAUCACAAAGGAAUGCAAAGAGAACUAGCUUGAAAAGGGCAGGAAUGGAAAAGAACCAACAAAAGGAAAAGAAACAGUAGAAGGAAAAAUGAAAGGAGCAGUAAAGAAAAGCAAAAUGGAAAGGGGAAAAAAAAAAGCAAAACUAAAAGGCAUAGCAAAGCAAUGAAAUACCAAGGAAAAGAAAAAACAGAAUGCCGUAUCCUGGCAAAGCAAAGGACUCAAAGAAAUUCAACAAGAAAAAACCUGCCAUCCAAAAUUGUUCAAAGAAAAAAAAAAUGACAAAAAGGAUACAAGCAAAGCCACGGAAAGAAAAGCAAACUAGCAAAGAAGAAAGGAAACCAAAGCAAAGCGAGAAAACCAUGAAGCCAUGCAAAAUGCAAAGCAAAGGUAUGAAAGGAAAACCAAAGAGCAAAGCAAAGCACCAGACAAACAAUAAAAAGAAAAGCAAGAAAAGAAACUGAAAAGGAAAGGAAACUAAAGAUAAGUAAUUUGAUAAGAAGAGAAAGGGGAAGGAAAAAAAGGAAUGCAAAGAAAUGAACUGGAAGGAAGAAAACCACAUUAAGGAAAUAAACAAUGGAAAGCGAAGCAAAGCGAGCAGUACAGAAAUCUGAAUUAGAAUUAAAAGGCAGAGCAAAGCAAAGCAAGUAAGGGCAAGGCUAGAGGAAGGAGACAGGCAAGGGGACAAGGAUACGGGCAAGGAAAAGAAGGCAAAGAAGAAUGCAAUUACAAAACAAAUAGGAAACUGAAAGGAGACCACAGAAAACCCAUUUGAAAAGAGAAGAAAAUAGAGAGAUAGUUUUACAACGAACAACAAUAAGAGAAAGCCAGCUGAUGGGAAAAGCAAAAGCCAGCUGAAAGCACAGCAGGAACGCACAGAGAACAGCAGAGUUACACUGUCAGAAAGAGAAAUGGAAGCAAAAAUCAACAAAGGACAUCCAAAUUAAAAGCCAACUGAAAAAGAGGAAACACGAAAGCAACGGGAAGAAGAGAGAAGCAGCAGAGUAGGAAAUCAAGCAAAGCAAAGAAAGCCAGAAAGCAACGCAGAGCAAUGUGAAGCAGAGGUGAAAAGGAAGAACAAAAGAGCAGAGCAAAGCAAAGCAAGGGCAAAUAGAAAUAGAAUUGUG
ensembl:lncRNA